rnacentral:rRNA from 1 species
GAUGAACGCUGGCGGCGUGCCUAAUACAUGCAAGUAGAACGCUGAAGGAAGGAGCUUGCUCUUUCCGGAUGAGUUGCGAACGGGUGAGUAACGCGUAGGUAACCUGCCUGGUAGCGGGGGAUAACUAUUGGAAACGAUAGCUAAUACCGCAUAACAGUAGAUGUUGCAUGAUAUCUACUUAAAAGGUGCAAUUGCACCACUACCAGAUGGACCUGCGUUGUAUUAGCUAGUUGGUGAGGUAACGGCUCACCAAGGCGACGAUACAUAGCCGACCUGAGAGGGUGAUCGGCCACCCUGGGACUGAGACACGGCCCAGACUCCUACGGGAGGCAGCAGUAGGGAAUCUUCGGCAAUGGACGGAAGUCUGACCGAGCAACGCCGCGGGAGUGAAGAAGGUUUUCGGAUCGUAAAGCUCUGUUGUAAGAGAAGAACGAGUGUGAGAGUGGAAAGUUCACACUGUGACGGUAUCUUACCAGAAAGGGACGGCUAACUACGUG